CAGUGGCAUGAGUUCCAUGUGAGCGCUGUCCUGCUCCCUCUGCUGCCUCUUUUUUUCUUGGGGCUACCAUAACACUUUCCCUUGCCCAGCCCUGCCAACCUGGUGGGACAUUGGGCUCUGUGGCUGCUGCAACAAAUUACCACACACUUAGUGACUUAAAACAACCAAAAUGUAUUCCCUUACAGGUCUGAAGGCCAGAAUUCUACAGUAAGUCCUACUGAGUCAAGGUGGGAGCAGGGUCGGUGGCUUCCUGAGGUACAUCUUCAGUCUUAAGUCAGAUUAGAAGAUUAUGUGAAGUAAUUAACACUUAACGUUGAUUUAAUGAUAGCUUCCACAUGAAAUAGUAUGCCUCUAAGUAUUAAUUAUGUCCUAGGACAGGAGAAUUCAUGUUGUCAAAAUUCUCAUACUCUCUAGAACAAUAAACUCAUUUUCUUUUUAUUAGUAAAUAUUGCAUUUAUGGGUAGAUUUUUGUUCUUAUAGCUCGAGCUGUAAAAGCCAAAGGUCCGGUGAUGAUCCCAUACCCUUUUUUCCGUGGGCUUAUUAUAAAACAGAGUUCAGCCCCUUUUGCCCUCUUGCUUUCUUGCACUUUCUUUUCCUUCUGCCUUCUGUAGUGGGAUGAUGCAGCAAGAAGACCCUUACCAGAUGCAGGCCCCUCAACCUUCGACUUCCUAACAUCCAGAACUGUUAAGAAAUAAAAUUUAUUCCUUUCCUUUUCUUCCUCCUUUCCCUUCUCCUCCCUUUUCUUCCCUUCCCCUCCCUCCCUCUCUCUCUCCCUCCCUCCCUCCCUCCUUCCUUCCCUUCCUCCUUCCCUCUUUCUCUCUUUCCCUUCCUUCCUUUCCUUCCUUCCCUUCCUUCCUUUCCUUCCCUCCUUCACUUUUUCCCUCCUUCCUUCCUUUUUUCUUUCCUUCCUUUUUUCCUUUUCAUAAAUUAUGCAGUCUGUGGUAUUCUUUUAUAGAAGCAUGAAAUGGACAAAGACAGACUCCAUUUUCAAGAGCAAGCACUUUUGUAGUUUCUGAGCGAAUUAUGACUGCAAAGGAAGUUCUAUAGGUAGCCUCAGAUCCACUACCUAGGAAGCAUGCUACCAAGCAGACCUAGGAUCUAGGAUUUGAUCAAGUGCUGGGCAACAUGAUACCUCUGCAAUUUAGCACCUCCCUAUAUACCUCCAGUUGGCUCAGCCCAUCAGGGCUAAAACUACACCUCAUAUCCUAGUGUCUCUUGUAGGCAGAAGCCGUGCCUAAACCCUAAGCUGCUUGGCUCACAUUCUGUCUUGUGCUUUUUUGUAGGGGGUUCAAAUAUACACAAACGAAAUAUGUUGAACCUCCAUGCACCCAACCCGCAGAUUAAGCAGUUACCUCCAUUUUUCCAGAUUUGUUUCAUCUGCUUCAAUCUCCCUAAAAAUUUAUGUUUGUACAGGAAAGACUGAAUAAAUAGCUAAUUCUCCACCCUACCUCUCAUCUUAAGUCACUUUUCAGAGUAGUAAGUUAGUGACCUAGUAACCUUCCCUCUAAUGACCAGUAGUUUUUUUUCUGAAUACCAUUAUGAACUCAUAGAUUAUUGUUUGCAUUUGAUGUAUUUCAGGCCAUUGCAGUCUUUAUUGUUUUGGAUGCUUACAUUGUCUCAUCUAGGUUAAUAAUUAUCUCUUCAAGUUUACUUUCAUGUCUUUUUGACGUGAUCCUGUUGGACUUUGAUGGCUUCCUUACUUUCUGGCAAAAAAGAUGUUCCAGGAUCAAUAUACUGCACCAUACAUGGAGUCAGCCAUUUCUCUAGGGAACCUUGAUUCCUUUUAGUAGAGAACACAGUUUGAGGUCUUGGACUGAAUGACUUUUGUGAACCUCCUUUCCUGAGACUACAGCCUGCAUCCCUGCAUAUAGCCCGUUUGGAGCUCUUGCUGGGCACCAACAGAUCUCCUAAAACUGCUAUAUAGUUCUGCCUCACUCUUACAAAGAUUGAUCUCUUGAGAGUUUUGUGCUCUACUCCCAGAUGUGGUCUUUCUGGUUCUGAAGCUUUUGCUUCAGUCACCCUGAAUUUUGCCAGCCCUAUGCAUGCUAUACCUUGGAUUGCCAACUUGCCCUCACUGAAGCCAGUUUCUCUGGUUAGAAUAGUUGCCCCAACCCAUGCCUAAUACUCUAGUAAACAAGGUUCUACCUGGGCUUAGGUUAACUUUUGCUCCUUUGGGCCCUGUGUUCUACAACCAGCACUAUACAGACCUGAACAAUGAAGAUGGCACAUUUUGUUCAGGGAAUGGUGAAUUAAGUGUGGCAGAAAUGCUUUGUAGAGACAGUAAUUUGCUUGUAUGGAAUUUUGCCCAAGAGACCUCAUUACAGUUUCUAAUUUUUUGAUGUUAUCAUGCAUCACUGCCCUUGUCAGAUAGUAUCAUGAUCACAAUAACAUCAAGCAUAAUAUUUCAUUGAUUCUCACAAAAACAUAAAGCAAUCCUCCCACCUUAGCCUCUCCAGUAGCUGGAACUACAGGCGUGCAUCACCAUGUCCACUUUGAAUUCUGUUUAAUUUUCACAUAACAUUUAAGACAUGUAAGAACUUAUGUCUGUCUGUGUCAUCCCUUUAUGUCAAAAGAUGUCUUUUUGUCACUUCCAGCUGGAUC
rnacentral:lncRNA from 10 species